rnacentral:lncRNA from 1 species
GGUAACUUCAUCCAAAGGGAGUAGCUGUCAGCCUCUAAGGGCGGCGCUAGGUGAGCAAGGGCUCCAGACCUAGCGAGGUGAAUUGAAGCAAAUGAGGUGAGGUAAGAGCAUAGCUAGCCCUUCCUUGAAGCGUCGGGGCCGUGUCCAGGAAGGAUGGGGAGGGGUGCGGCUUUGCCGUUGGUGGAGAAGAGAUAAAGUUGUGAGAAAGAGAAAAAAUGAGGAUUGAUGUUUUCUGCUCAAAUUUGAGCAGGAAAGGUGAAUUUGAGGAGGUACUCAAACUUUUGAGGGAUUACAAGUUUUGAUGCAAGGGUUAAUUGUCGAAACAAUGGUUUUAGGGAUUAAAAGAUUUUAGUGGAAGGACUAGAAAUGUUGUAAGGGAGUUGGAAUUUUUGUCCAAAAGGACCCCCUGUCGAGUGGGAUUGUCAAAA